GGGUAGAUGCGACGAAUUGGUAAGUCAACGGAUUGUAAAUCCGCCGCCACUGGCAUCGGGGUUCGAGUCCCUGUCUGCCCACCA
rnacentral:tRNA from 1 species